rnacentral:lncRNA from 1 species
AGUCUUAGGGCCCAAGAGGGACCACCAGAAAGAGCUAUCCUGAGAGGAAGGAUCUGCGCCUGCGCCGAGGCCAGAAAGGCUGAGACAGGGCUCCUAAAUGGAAAGGCACUCUCAGCCAGAUGGAGUUUAGCUGAGUGCAGAGGAUUUAUGAGAACACAAUAGCACAGAUUGCUGAAGGACAGAACGGUCGGAGUGGGACUAGGAGCCUGGAGCGGGGGCGGGGACUUGAACAUUCCAGGCUCUGUGAACUAAGUGACUGAAGCUGAUUGACACAGGUCAAGGGGACUUCAAGGAAGAAAGCCAGCCUUAGACUGACAUCAGAGAACCAAACUCCGGUGUCUAAGCUCAAGCCUUGCGUGGAUGAAACAGUCCCAACGAACACUUUAAAAAGACAAAUGUUCCCGACAGCACUGGUUGAAUUCAAAACUCGGCAGAUCCAUGUUCUUAUCCUUAGACAAGAGAGGGGCCAUAACAAGAUGGAAUGACGGAACAGACGUGAGAGAUGAUGUCCACCCAGAGGGUCUGCACUUCUCGGAGCCAGAAGGUGGAGAAGAGUAGGGAUGGAGGAAGUUCGAAGUUUUAGGAGUCUGCUCUUGGGUCCCUAGGCAUGAGGACAAGCUUUUCCUGUACUCAAUGCUCAUCUCUCAGUUGUGCCCACAUUGGUACACAUUACUUGCUUUCAACUGCUGCUGCUGCUGUUUCCUAAUUCAAUAAAGAUAUGGCUGGCUCAGCAGAGAGCUG